rnacentral:rRNA from 1 species
CAGGUCUUGACAUGGGAGUGACCGGACUAGAGAUAGUUUUUUCCCUUCGGGGACACUCCACACAGGUGGUGCAUGGUUGUCGUCAGCUCGUGUCGUGAGAUGUUGGGUUAAGUCCCGCAACGAGCGCAACCCCUAUUGUUAGUUGCUACGCAAGAGCACUCUAGCGAGACUGCCGUUGACAAAACGGAGGAAGGUGGGGACGACGUCAAAUCAUCAUGCCCCUUAUGUCCUGGGCUACACACGUAAUACAAUGGCGGUCAACAGAGGGAUGCGAAGCCGCGAGGCAGAGCGAACCCCCAAAAGCCGUCCCAGUUCGGAUCGCAGGCUGCAACCCGCCUGCGUGAAGUUGGAAUUGCUAGUAAUCGCGGAUCAGCAUGCCGCGGUGAAUACGUUCCC